rnacentral:rRNA from 1 species
UCAUGGAGGCUACCUGCAGUCGAGCGGAUGAAGGGAGCUUGCUCCUGGAUUCAGCGGCGGACGGGUGAGUAAUGCCUAGGAAUCUGCCUGGUAGUGGGGGAUAACGUCCGGAAACGGGCGCUAAUACCGCAUACGUCCUGAGGGAGAAAGUGGGGGAUCUUCGGACCUCACGCUAUCAGAUGAGCCUAGGUCGGAUUAGCUAGUUGGUGGGGUAAAGGCCUACCAAGGCGACGAUCCGUAACUGGUCUGAGAGGAUGAUCAGUCACACUGGAACUGAGACACGGUCCAGACUCCUACGGGAGGCAGCAGUGGGGAAUAUUGGACAAUGGGCGAAAGCCUGAUCCAGCCAUGCCGCGUGUGUGAAGAAGGUCUUCGGAUUGUAAAGCACUUUAAGUUGGGAGGAAGGGCAGUAAGUUAAUACCUUGCUGUUUUGACGUUACCAACAGAAUAAGCACCGGCUAACUUCGUGCCAGCAGCCGCGGUAAUACGAAGGGUGCAAGCGUUAAUCGGAAUUACUGGGCGUAAAGCGCGCGUAGGUGGUUCAGCAAGUUGGAUGUGAAAUCCCCGGGCUCAACCUGGGAACUGCAUCCAAAACUACUGAGCUAGAGUACGGUAGAGGGUGGUGGAAUUUCCUGUGUAGCGGUGAAAUGCGUAGAUAUAGGAAGGAACACCAGUGGCGAAGGCGACCACCUGGACUGAUACUGACACUGAGGUGCGAAAGCGUGGGGAGCAAACAGGAUUAGAUACCCUGGUAGUCCACGCCGUAAACGAUGUCGACUAGCCGUUGGGAUCCUUGAGAUCUUAGUGGCGCAGCUAACGCGAUAAGUCGACCGCCUGGGGAGUACGGCCGCAAGGUUAAAACUCAAAUGAAUUGACG